CUUUUUGUGCCAAGAAAACAGUGUUUCAAAGUGUGACUGUGAAAUAAAUAGCUGAUACUGGACAGCAAGGUCAGGAUUCCUCAAAGGUUUUCUUGUAAGUGAAUCAGGGAUAAAUGCAUUAUGGAUAUAAACAAGUAAACAAUGAUUAAUGUAAAAAUACAUAAACCUUUUAUCUGAAAAUAAUAAAAAAUGUAACUGCAGGACCUGCUGAUUCAGUUCUCAAGAUACAAGGCAGU